UCAGAUAGAGUUCCUUUGAGUUUUUCUUUAAAUAUGAUCAAUGAAAAAAAAUAUAUAUAUAUAUAUCUGAUAAGCCCUGUUCUCUUCCCUUAUUCGCAAUAUUUUCUCUUGUACUGGGAUUGGUUUGGUUCAAUUGUUGUUAUUGGACUACAACUUUGCAAAAGCUAAUAUUUUUCAUGUGGCUGGAUUUCGGGUUAUCUAAAACUAAUGAUCUAAAGGAACCCUUGAGAAUUUUUAAUUGGUGAGAAUUGGUUGGAGUCUUGGAGAGGAUAGUUCUAAACUUCUAAUUCUGAUCUAACACCAUAAUAGCCAGUUUUAUCCAUAAAUUGGUCAAGUUAUAAGCUUUUCAUCAAUAAUAGUGUUCUUUCCCCAGUGUUUCCAUGGUCUCCCAUUAUUUUUAAUUCAGAACUGUUUUGAGGGCGAGAGUUUUAUUUUCACUUAAGAAAAACGAAAAAGCUUUCAAUUGAAUUUUGUUUUGUUAGAUGCAAGUAUGCUUUUUUAUCAUAAAGCAUUAACUUUGACUGACAAAUUGCAAGACCACUAUUUAGGCUUCCCUUUCAUAUUUUCAUACUUUUGAAUGAUAAUGAUUCAAUGCGUUCAUUAGCAAGCUGAUGGAUUUGGCAUUCUGCCAAAGUAAUCAAAUCCAGCAGUUCAAUCUCUCAUUUGCACAUGCAAACCAGUCCACUGGCUUACAUCUUACUGGUUCCCCAUAUAUAGCUUGGCAUUUAGAAUUGCGAAAAAAAAAAAAAAAAAGAGAAGAAGCAGCGGCAGCCAUCACUAAUCUUUUUUAAGAACAAGAAUUCAAACUGGUAAUACUGUUUUAUUUUCUAUAUUUAUAUAGUUUAUUUUAGAUGUCAAUAAAAAUGCAUCAAAGUUAGAGGUGAUUUUCAAUGUGAGAGACAUGUUUAAUGCCAUUAUUGUAAUAACCCAUAUGUCUCUAGCAUUCUCAUCCUGUAAUACUUGUCCAGGCUGCAAGACUUUUAGGUCAAUUUAGAAACUGUAAUUGUCACUUAACCAACUUAAGCUUUUGUCAGCAUUAUAAUGGCUGCUAAUGCUAAGUGUGAUCAAAUAUUUUCCUAUCUUAAUGGUUCGUGAUCAAAUAAUGAUAUGUAACAUUUGGAUUUCAAAUGUUUAUGAAAAACUUUUAGAAAUGUAUGCAAUCCCAUAUAUUUUCUCAUCUACCUGUAAAAAUAAAUUAAAAUUCAGGUUCAUCAUUUCUCAGAUUCAUCAUAUCUAACAUUGUUGGAUUUUCCUUGUUUUCAUCAUAAUUCUACAGUAGCCUCUUCCUCUUUUUGUUUUGCCUUUUUUUAUUUAAGUUGAUGAAAUGAUUGUUGAACAUAUAUAGUGGAUUUUUGAUGGACCUUUCUUUUACCAUAGAGAAUGAUGAUUCAUUGAAACUUCAGCUCAAGGAUACGGCACUAGAAUUUUCAUGGCCAAUUGGUAGAAUCAGAGAAGCAUUAUCUAACUUAGGUGCUCCUUCCUCUUCAACACCCACGUCUUGCUCGAUGGAAUCACUUAAGCCAAUUUCAGCUUUGGUUGAAGAACAAAAUAUCCCAGAGGCAAAAAUUGCACUCGCUUCUGGAGUGUCAGCCUUUUUAUGGUUAUAUACUUCUAUUCAAGGAAAAUCUUUCAAUAAUUUAUGGAUAUGAUGGAAGUUCAUUCCAAAGGCAGUAUGUAAAUGAAAAUUUUGAUUAUAGUUCUUUUUUUGCAAAAGCUCACAAGUAUAGAUUAAAAUGCUAUCAUACUGAACCGGGUUUUCUGCUACUUCCUAUUUUAUUCGUGGCUUGUUAAACUGAUAUUUGUUGUUUAAUGCUAUUUCCCAACAAAUCAGUACCUAUAUGUGUUUUACACUAAAUUUUGUGGUCAGUCAGGUAUCUUGAGCAAUAUAGUUAAUGCAUUGCGAUAUUGGAAGUCCCACAAGUAUCUUCAACCAAAUCGGUAGCUACAAAGUUGGUUGAGAAGAGAAAUUCAGGCUGUUUUGCCGGUACAUAUUUUCAUUUGAGAUUUUUCUAUGCUUUGCCCUUAAGCUUGAGAGAUAAGCUUGAAGAAUGUGCUACUAUUGUCGGUAGCUACUAUUGUCGGUCACUCUGCUAAACUCUUAAGCUUGAGAGAUAAGCUUGAAGAAUGUGCUAUUUGAAAUCAAAACACAACCCGAUUAAAAAACUCGACACAUGGACCGACUUGAAUAUUAUAUCUAACGGUCUAUUUGGAUUAUGGUGAAGGAGGGGUAAAUAAAGGGAAGAAUGGAUAACUAACUAUUUUAUCCUUGAUUGGAAGAAGGUGAGUU